rnacentral:rRNA from 1 species
AAUGAACGUUGGCGGCGUGGAUUAGGCAUGCAAGUCGUGCGCGAACUGUAGCAAUACAGGGAAAGCGGCGUAAGGGAGAGUAAUACGUAGGUAUCUACCCAUGGGUCUGGGAUAGCGGCGGGAAACUGCCGGUAAUACCAGAUAACGUCUCCGGACCAAAGGUGUGAUUCCACCUGUGGAGGAGCCUACGGCCUAUUAGCUAGUUGGCAGGGUAACGGCCUACCAAGGCUUGGAUGGGUACGGGGUGUGAGAGCAUGCCCCCGCUCACUGGGACUGAGACACUGCCCAGACACCUACGGGUGGCUGCAGUCGAGAAUCUUCGGCAAUGGGCGCAAGCCUGACCGAGCGACGCCGCGUGCGGGAUGAAGGCCUUGGGUUGUAACCGCUGUCGUAGGGAUGAAACGCUAGUGAGUUAUCUCAUUAGUUUGACUGAACCUAGGAGGAAGGGCCGGCUAAUCUCGUG